GAUGAACGCUGACAGAAUGCUUAACACAUCAGCAAUUGAUUGGUGGCGGACGGGUGAGUAACGCGUAAAGAACUUCCCUCUCAGUUAGGGACAACAUUUGGACACUAAUGCUAAUACCUAAUACUGUGCGAGAGCUUUGCGUCCCAUUAGCUAGUUGGCGAGGUAACGGCUCACCAAGGCGAUGAUGGGUAGCCGGCCUGAGAGGGGGAUCGGCCACAAGGGGACCGAGACACGGCCCUUACUCCUACGGGAGGCAGCAGUGGGGAAGAUUGGACAAUGGACCAAAGGCUUAUACAGCAAUUCUGUGUGCACGAUGAAGUUUUCGGAAUGUAAAGGGCUUUCAGUUGGGAAGCGGUACCAACAGAAGAAGUGACGGCUAAAUACGUGCCAGCAGCCGCGGUAAUUC
rnacentral:rRNA from 1 species